UGGGACAAUUCAUUUUUGAAAUGUUAAUGAAUGUAAUCUUAUAUCUAGUGAGCUGGAGUAAAACCUUUAUCUUUACCUAUAAUUGAGAUUAUAUAGGGUAACAAUACGGUUACCAUCAGUAUGGCCUGCUUCAUUCUAGUUGUUGAUACUAAUUCUGUGUAGGGUCAUAAGGUUGUUAACACGUAUACGAUCUAUUUGAGACCUAAUUUUUUAUUUAGGUGGAGGAAUGCGUUAGGGCAGUAGAAUAAUCUGCACAAGGUCGUUCAACCAUUUUCCUUCCGAGCUUAAGAGCAAACAAACAAAUACAACGGCUCAAUCCAACACAGAAGAUUGCCCUGUAAUGUAAAGAAAUAUUUUAAAAAGUCAACAAUUUAGAGACAGCACACUAGCUGUUAUUUUAUAUUUUUCUAAAAUAGUACUUUGUGUGAUUCCUGUAUUUGAACCUCCCUCUUAAUUGUUGGUUAUGAAGCUUGAUUAUUAUCUUAAUUCAGUUGUAGUAAUCAAUCUUCAAGUGGGAGAUUGCUGGAAGUGGAAUCUGAUUAUCAUUUUGGUUCACAGAUUCUAUUUCAUUCGUGUUUGGAUUGUUUCCUCAUGAGGUGUGGGGGGCUUGCCUUCCCACUUCUAUCGUCCCCACAAGAAUUUAUUAAAUAUUUUGAUUUUGUAGUCAAUUUGGAUCAUUCAUCGUUAGGUCAUAGAUUGGACAAUAGAAGUUAUGUUGAUAUGUUUUUGUCCUAUAAAGAAAUUCUCUUUUUAAUGAGGGUGUUGUAUUACAGCAUGCAUCGUGAGAAAGCAUUGUGAUUGAGAGAAAAGACCUUGAGAAAGUGAAGAGGAGGUUGCAAUAGAUGUGUUAUAGGUUUUAUCCCUUCAUUUUGUUAGAUAGAAUAAAGGAAGGACUAGUUUUUUCUCCAUGGAUGUAGCCCCUAUCAGGUGAACCACCUAUAUGUGUCUCUCUUGUAUGUUUUUUUUUUGUGUUCAUUUUAAUUAUUUUAUUAUUCCACAAUUCUAUUCAUAACAUUAAUUUCUACUAUUUAAAAAACUAGUUUAGAAAUUAGAUUCUAAGCACAAUGAUUUCACAUUUUCAAAUUUUGAAUGUGGCUUCUUCAAAUUUUUCAUCGAAGAUCAAAUUUUGUUGAUUUUAAAAAAGUCACAUUUCACUUCCUUUGGUACCCAUUUCCAUGCACAUACGCUUCAACAAUGUUGAAAUACCAAAUGUUCUUCUUUGACAUAGGUGGAUAGGGCAUAUAAAGCUACAUUAUUGCAACAUUAAAUUUAUAUUUUAUCACAUUAUUUCCACAUCUCCUAAUUGACAUUGUUAAGUACUUUGCCAAAACUUGUGGAUGACUUAUCUAGAAAAUUUGACAAGCAAACAAUAGAAAAAUUUGAGGGAUGAAAAACUAGGAGUACUUAGUGACUCAUCAAGUAGUCAAACUACGAUUUGAUUACAUUUAAGAUCUCUAGUGUUAGGCAAUAUUAUGAUAGAUUAGCUAGUUUGAAUUUCAAUAUUUAUUUGUGACUUCAAUGGAUUUGUUGUAGGAAAUAUAUUUAAUGGACUUGGACCCAUAAAAUUGGUUUGCUUAACAUCCUCAAUAGUUGAUAGUGACACUAAAAUAAUUGUGCUUUGUGGUUAGGAAGGCACCGACUUUCCAAGAGUAACUUCUAUUGUUAGUCAAAAACAUAAUUGCUUGAACCUACAAACAACAACCAUAGUUUCCCACUUGCUAUAAGUAUGAGAACUUCUAUUUGUUAACUACUCUAGAAAAAAAUAUAUAUAUCAAUGGACAUAAACAAAUGAAAAAUAGGAAAAUUAAAUAAUGUCAAUGUCUACUUAAUCUAAUUACUUGAUAUUAUUUUUGGUACAUAAUCGUGUAAGAGAGAUUUAAAUGUGAAAGGAAAACAAAUUAAAACCUUGCCAAUUGUUUACCCUCUAAGACACAUUUGUCCUUUGAACAAUAAUCUUUUGUUGUUAUAAUCAACAAUUUUAAUAACAUUUGAGAUUCACUUUAUGUAAAUGCAAAAUACAUACCUCAAAAACAAAACACACCUUAUUUGCAAGAACAUCACCAUACACAUUUACUAACCCAACAUAGAAUUUUGUCAGCCGUGCACUUGUUAGCAUUUUGGAAAGACUAGAAAUGCACCUUCAAAACAAAAAUACCAACAUAUUUUAUCAACAAUAAAAAUCAAUAAAAACCUAACAUAUCUAAAAUUAGAUAACUAAAGUCAAGAUAUAUAAAAGGGUAAGACAGGUCACCCCAUGAUGCACAAUUUUGACACCAAAGAGAGUCGAAUUAACUUAGCAUUUAGGUGUUGGUAGAUGCUCCAAAAAUAGGCAUAAAAGAUUGUCAUGCCAUAAAGGGCAUACCUUAAAAUUGUUUUUUUUCCAGAAAAAUGGGGGUGUUUCUUGAUGUCCACUAAAGAAUGUGGGGAUUGUUUUAUGUGAGACAAAAAGGAAAUAGUUUCAAUAGGUACACAUUCAACCUUCUUUUGAAUAUUAUAUUUUUGAGCAAUUUGAUCAUUGAUUGCUUGAGUUCAAUAUAUGACAUAAGAGAUAUUGAAAGGUCAACUCAUGGAUUCAUUUUGUAUAAAUUAAUAGUUUUUGGACUUUAUAGAACUCCUUGAAAGAGGACCAAGAUUGAAGGUCUACAAGAGUUAUUAAUAAAGUUAAAUGUUAAACCCUAAUUGAAAUUUACUUGAGAACAAUAAUAAUAAAAACCUAAACAACAUGCCAUGAUGCAACUUAUAAAUCUAAUCUAAAUAUGUAGCUCAUAAGCUAUGUCACGAAAUGGUUCAUUAUGAACAAAAAUUUGAUUGAUUAAAAUUAUUUAUAAAAUAGCAAAAGUUCGAAUUGUUACAAGUAUAAUGAUAAAAUCUUAAUUUUUAUUAAUAAUUCAUUCCUAAUAGCUACAAACUUAAAUAUGACAUAAUCUAUAAAUUUUGAUUUAGAAGCAUCCAAGGAGACCAUGGAGAAGAAGAGUAGUCAAUAGGCUUUGUAGAUCUGUUUGCCAACACUAUUGGGAAAAGGUGUGUCAACCUUGCAUGUCUGAGGUUCAUAUUUAAUUAUUUAAUAAUAUUUAUUUAAUAUGCAAUCACAUAUGUGGGAGGUCCUUCUUAGAGUGACAAUAAUUGCCAUUUAUAGUUUGUAAUGUGGCAAUUUAUAUUUCCAUUAGUUGUCAUGGGAAUUGCAAAAUGUUAUUGUUGACAACUUGUAAGGUGGGUAAGAGUUGUUAGAUUAGAAAAAGCAUGAAAAUUGUGUGUGACUGUGGACUUGGAGAAGAUGAUGAAUGAUCUUUAGUUCUUAGGAGCAUGUUAUAAUUAAAAGAUGGAUACAUCCAAAGUGGAGUAUUGAAAUUGAAAGAGGAAGCUUCCAAUUGAGUUUUAAUUAACUCACCUUUAUUUGGGCAUUGGGGUUUGUUUGGGGAUUUGAGUGCCACUUUAGUCUAUGUAUCUUCUCAUGGUUUUAGAAGUCAUUAGUGGUUUCUAGUUUUGGUCUUGAUUAUAUAUUAGAUAUUGGAGAUGCGAGACAUUAGGUUUUAUUGCAGGGAUUUUGCUACUGGAUUUUCUCUUGAGAAGUAGGGUAUUGAUCUCCGUAUUAAGAUUUUGAGCUUGAUUUUGUAUUGUGAAUAUUGUUACUUGGAAUAUAUUGGAUUGGUGCUUAAAAAAAUUAAUACUUAAUUCUGUUUUAUGGUCCACAAUAUCAGGUGAUUUGUUUUUGGGUCUAUAGAUGGCUUACAGUAUAUAGGAUUCCUUUCGCUCCUAGUAUGUAGUAACCACCUAACUGUGUUUCAAAUACGAGGUGUACAUACCUUACCCCCUACAGGAUUUGAAUUUGUGACCUCUCUUUCAAGAAUACAGCUUUUGGAUGCUGGAUUUUUCCUAAAAAAAAUAUCGUCACUAUUCUUUUAUGUUAUUAAUAUUUCAUUAUUUUUUCUAAAUAUUUAUAUAUGCUGUUGUAAAUAUUUAAGAUUUGAUAUGCAAGUCUUUAUGCAGAAAAUGGCUUUAUGUCCUGUUUCUUUUUUAAUAGAUAUUAUAGACAGGUACAUAUGCACUUGUAUGCAAACUUAAUUUAGAUUGUAAAGCUUAUAGUACUGGCAAUCCAUGUGUGCCCAUUUCUCUUUCGGACACCAAAUAUACUGCGUGGCCUGACUUGUAGAUUUUGCUUGCCUUCCCAAACCAGAUGUAUUGUUGUUCUUUGGUUGUUUAUACUUUUAUGGAAAUAAUAGAAAAAUGAACCACUUGUUAAGCAUAGUCCACAUACACAUACGGGCCUAGGAUCUAGUUGCAAUCAAGAGAAUAUUGAAAACAAGUGAAAAUUAUUGCAUGAUAAGGAAGGUGUUUCCUAAUAUCUUCUCUACUUUUGUCACUCCAUCUGCUCUGGCGUGUAAGGAAAUCGUGAGACUCUGAAGUCCUUGUUGAAAAGAGUUGAAGGCUGUUAUGCAGGGGUCUUUUGUCUUCUUACAGCUUCUCUGACACCUUUCGAGCUCACUGUAGACCAACAAUACGCUGUAGACAAGAAAGAUAGUGGAGACCUGGCCAUUAUGAUGAAAUGCGGAAAAAGACCACAACAAAAUAUAUUAGGCGUGAUAUUGAAGAUUCAAGAAAAUCAAGUGCGUGAGUAGGAAGGCAUACGUACUCCCUUGCAUGUGUGAAAGACAAUCUGCCUGGAUACCCAAUACAGAUCAGGAAUUCUGUACUUGUUAUCGUCAUCAUCAAGCAUGGAAUGAGCAAUCCGAUGUGCCAAACCAGUGACGCGGGUUUUCAAAUCUGAUGUGGCAAACCAGUAACGUGGGUUUUCAAGGUCUUCAAAAGAAGUUUGGGAGGAAAGAGUGUAUUUUUUUUUUUGCACUUCAGGUAAAGUUAAAACAUAAAAACAUUUAUUCUAGAAUGUGACACUUAUAAGAUCGGCAGGGACAGUUAUGUAAACACCUUGGCAGUCGGUUCUUGGGAUAAUUUAUUCAGCUAGGGGUUCGUGGAGAAGUUAGGGGCGCUCAUCAUCAUGCUGCACAAGAAAAGAGUUGAAAUGCAGAAGUUAGUUUGUGAAGGUGUCUGUCCCAUAGACUAUGUUUAGCCUCCUGAACAUUAAAAUAAUUUCUUUUUCUUGUAUGACUUUAAUUCUUGGAAUGAAGUCAGCUGAAGAUGAUUGACUGAUAAUUAAAUAUUAUUUUAAUUCUAUAAAUUUAGAUGGUGUAGAAGACUUUAUAUUGUACGAGCUGUUGAUAUUUUUUUAAAAAAAUUGUCCCAACAGGAACUAAUAAUUAUUGGACUCUUUCUAAAUCUAUUACGUUUCUGAAUACAGUCUCCCAAAACAAAUAAGAUCUAAUAUAAUUAUUAAUUAAAUACUACGACACAUGAGAAGGGUGGGGGAAAGAAAUGUGGACCAGAAAUUACGUAAAGAUAAGAUUUUAUGAUAUUGUUAUAUAGAAAAGUUAGGAAGGGGUCUCCCAUACCAUGUUUCCAGCACAUGGUUUUCUGACCUUAAUCAGCAGUCAGCCCCCAUCAGAUUAUAAAAAGCAUCAUAGCAAAGCCUCUUCCAAGAUUGAAAGGUAAAGUGUAAGCUUUUUAUAUUAUUUUGAGUAGUACGUUUGAUAAGCCCUGUUCUAAAAUAUCAUUCCUAAGUUCACCCAGUAAAACAUUGCGUUGCAGUGUGUAAACGGGGGGAUGUUUGCAGUUGAAGAGUACAUGAUAUUGUAAUUCAUGUUUGGAGUACUAUUGGAUUGUUAAUAUGGUCAACACAUUCACCUUGUUCACAGAGAGUCUCUAUGAACAAGUUGAAUGUAUUGCUGUUACAUUCCACAGCACUGCUGGAUGUUCAACAGAAUCACAUAUUCUUCAAACUCUGAUACAGAUCAAAGGAACUAUGGCUGACAAAGGAACAGUUCUUUAUUCGGUUGAGAUGGGGUGCACGCUGGCAUGAAUAAAGGUCGAGAAAAGUGAAGGCCGCUCCACCAUUUCCCUCCCUAACUUAAUAGCAAACAAACAAGUGCAGCACCUCAAUCCAACAUAGAAAGUCACCCUUAAUAGAAAGGAAUUGUGGGAUCGAUUUUAACUCCCCGCUUUCCAUUUUCUCUCGAUGCGUCCGGGGACUUCUUCAUGCAGGACGGUUUGCCUUAAGCAGAUUUUCGCGCGACGGCCUUAACGCCUUAACCAGGCUAACCUAUCUCCGCUUUCGUAAAGGCUUUCACCCGAGGCUUUAACCACCAUCCCGCAGGCCUGCCAGGGAAAAAUUAAUCAUCUGCCAUUAAAGUCUGUCUGAUAGAGGUAAAAGUAGUGGAAGAGGGAUGAUAAAGAGGCCUUCAUUUUGCCAAGCAAGACCUGUAGUCCUAGCUCUAGCAUUGACACUGGAAGGCCCAGCCUCCCGCCUGCCUGGUCCAUCUCUUAAAAUUUAGGUUAUUGAUAGGUCCAGUAUGCAGCUUACUUUCUAUCAAUAUGGUGUAACAUUUUUCUUGAUUCUCUUUUUUAUUUUUAAAACAUAUAUAAUAGAUUAAAUUUAAGAAAUUAUUGUUUUUCUUGUAAAUAUGUAGAUUUGAUGUAAUAAUGUCUGUUGGGUUAUCAUCUAUGUACU